CUUGACAUGUCCGGAAGCCCGGUGAGAGCUGGGGGUGCCCGAAAGGGAACCGGAACACAGGUGCUGCAUGGCUGUCGUCAGCUCGUGUCGUGAGAUGUUGGGUUAAGUCCCGCAACGAGCGCAACCCUUGUCAUUAGUUGCUACAUUCAGUUGGGCACUCUAAUGAGACUGCCGGUGACAAACCGGAGGAAGGUGGGGAUGACGUCAAGUCCUCAUGGCCCUUAUGGGUAG
rnacentral:rRNA from 1 species